rnacentral:rRNA from 1 species
CGAGUGGCGGACGGGUGAGUAACACGUGGGUAACCUGCCCUUAAGUGGGGGAUAACAUUUGGAAACAGAUGCUAAUACCGCAUAGAUCCAAGAACCGCAUGGUUCUUGGCUGAAAGAUGGCGUAAGCUAUCGCUUUUGGAUGGACCCGCGGCGUAUUAGCUAGUUGGUGAGGUAAUGGCUCACCAAGGCGAUGAUACGUAGCCGAACUGAGAGGUUGAUCGGCCACAUUGGGACUGAGACACGGCCCAAACUCCUACGGGAGGCAGCAGUAGGGAAUCUUCCACAAUGGACGCAAGUCUGAUGGAGCAACGCCGCGUGAGUGAAGAAGGCUUUCGGGUCGUAAAACUCUGUUGUUGGAGAAGAAUGGUCGGCAGAGUAACUGUUGUCGGCGUGACGGUAUCCAACCAGAAAGCCACGGCUAACUACGUGCCAGCAGCCGCGGUAAUACGUAGGUGGCAAGCGUUAUCCGGAUUUAUUGGGCGUAAAGCGAGCGCAGGCGGUUUUUUAAGUCUGAUGUGAAAGCCCUCGGCUUAACCGAGGAAGCGCAUCGGAAACUGGGAAACUUGAGUGCAGAAGAGGACAGUGGAACUCCAUGUGUAGCGGUGAAAUGCGUAGAUAUAUGGAAGAACACCAGUGGCGAAGGCGGCUGUCUGGUCUGUAACUGACGCUGAGGCUCGAAAGCAUGGGGUAGCGAACAGGAUUAGAUACCCUGGGUAGUCCAUGCCCGUAAACGAUGAAUGCUAGGGUGUUGGGAGGGGUUUCCGGCCCUUCAGUGGCCCGCAGCUUAACGCAUUUAAGCAUUUCCCGCCCUGGGGGAGUAACGACCGCCAAGGGUUGAAAACUUCAAAGGGAAUUUGAACGGGGGGCCCCGUCACA